CAAUAGCGUAUAUUAAAGUUGUUGCAGUUAAAAAGCUCGUAGUUGGAUUUCUGGUGGGAGCGAUCGGUCUGGCGCUUAGCGCGAGUACUUGCAUCGUCUCCGGCCAUCCUUGGGGAAAGUCUGUCUGGCAUUAAGUUGUCGGGCAGAGGAUCCUCAUCGUUUACUGUGAAAAAAUUAGAGUGUUCAAAGCAGGCUUAUGCCGUUGAAUAUAUUAGCUUGGAAUAAUAAGAUAGGACUUUGGUACUAUUUUGUUGGUUUGCGCACCAAAGUAAUGAUUAAUAGGGACAGUUGGGGGUAUUCGUAUUCCGUUGUCAGAGGUGAAAUUCUUGGAUUUACGGAAGACGAACUACUGCGAAAGCAUUUACCAAGGAUGUUUUCAUUAA
rnacentral:rRNA from 1 species